UUUUUUUUAAUUUUUCUUCCAAUGUUUGCGUUACAACGCAAACCUUUGCGUUAUAACGCAAACAUUUGUUUUAUCUUAUUUCUUAUUUAAGAUUCAAAGGAAACAGUAGUUAUUAAUAGAGGAGGCUGUAUAUAUUAAAAUGUAUCUCCAUUGUAGUCAUUGCAAAGUAAAAUCCUUGAAUAAUUAGAUCAUAUCAUUGACUUCAAUAAUGAACAGAAUAAUAUAAGAAAAUGUGGUAUGAACGCCAAUAAGAACACUCUCUAUCUAAGUCACUAUUCCUAAAAGUAAACCAUCAUAGGCCAAAGUACGGUCUUCAACACGGAGCAUUGGCUUACACUGAACAACAAACUAUAAAGGUCCCCAGAAACGAUAUCCUUGUUACUUCUAGUAUAUAUAUUACAAAGAAAAUUGAGUAAAUUAAGGUUAUACGGAAGAACAAAAUUCAACCCUGCUAAUAUAGCUAUAACCGAAUAUAAAUAUUCUUCCAAAGUAAGCUCUCGUUUGAGAACUGUGUAAAGUAGGUUGGCAAUAAAUAUAUAGAAUGAAGAUGUUUUAUUAAUAAAAUUAUGUUCUCUCUAAUUCUAAUUUCAAAUUGCUACCCAAGCAUCUUAAAAAUACUUCAUUAUAUUGAAAUGAAAAUUCAAUGACUUUCUAUCAAAGAAUCUUGAUCAUAUUCUGAGAUUUAAAAAAAAAAUGUUUCCUUAAUAAAAAUUCAUUUUAAAGCAGAAAGAUAAAUUUGUCCAUCUGACUUGGAGUUUCACAAUUGUAUGACAUUAUUUUGGAAUUUUCAAUUUAAAUAUAAGUGAAUAUCGAUAGGGGAUUAAUAAAGGAAUCAAAAGAGUAAAAAAAUAUACAGAUCAAUGUGCUUGUUUUCGAGAUAUUAGCCAUUGUAAUUUUGGCGGGAAAAUAUUCUCUCUUGACUUUUCAUAGCUUUAUCAUUGACAACUUUAUAUUCUCAAAAACUAUCAAAGAAUAAGUUAAAUUUUAAAAGACUUUUACAGAUGGCUUAUCAUUAUACAUGUAAAAGAUUUAUAAAAAGAUAAAUGGGGGUCAAUGCCAUUUUUUUUAAGGCAUUCAAAUGAAUAAAACCUGAGGUUUCCGAAAAUCUGACAAAAAAACCAAACAUGACAAGCGAACUACAAUGUACCUUAACUAAGCUCUAAAGCUAAAACCAAGUUAUAGAUUAUCGAUCUUAUAUAUGAAAUUUCUGAAAAAAAAAAUGAUUCUAUUUAUAAUCAGG
rnacentral:lncRNA from 1 species